rnacentral:rRNA from 1 species
UACGUAGGGUGCAAGCGUUGUCCGGAAUUAUUGGGCGUAAAGAGCUCGUAGGCGGUUUGUCGCGUCUGCUGUGAAAACUCGGGGCUUAACCCCGGGCCGGCAGUGGGUACGGGCAGACUAGAGUGCGGUAGGGGAGACUGGAAUUCCUGGUGUAGCGGUGAAAUGCGCAGAUAUCAGGAGGAACACCGGUGGCGAAGGCGGGUCUCUGGGCAGCAACUGACGCUGAGGAGCGAAAGCGUGGGGAGCGAACAGG